rnacentral:misc_RNA from 1 species
GAAAUGCGAUACGUAAUGUGAAUUGCAGAAUUCAGUGAAUCAUCGAAUCUUUGAACGCAUAUUGCGCUCGAGGCCUCGGCCAAGAGCAUGUCCGCCUCAGCGUCGGUUUGAACCCUCACAACCCCUCACAGGGUGGUGGAACUGACAGUCUCAGGUCCUUGGAUCUGGGUCUGUUGAAGCACAGAGGCUUGAGCUUGAACCCACAAAGGGCAACGGCUGGGUAGGCAGCUUGCUGCAACUAGUCGGGGCCUGGAUUCUUGCUGGGAGCCAAUCGGAGUUUGGACUUGUGCCAAACCCAACCUUCAUAUUCGACCUGAGCUCGGGCAAGACUACCCGCUGAACUUAA